GUGUAAAUCUCUGCCCGGGCAAACUGAGCGUGUGGUGCAGCCUUCCUUCAGCUCUGCUGUAGGUGCAGGUCUCCCUCUGCACCACCAGCACCCAGGGACCCCAUAGUGCACCCAGGGAUCCCAUAGUGCACCCAGGGCCCCCAUAGUGCACCCAGGACCCCCAUAGUGCACCCAGGGAUCCCAUAGUGCACCCAGGGAUCCCAUAGUGCACCCAGGGCCCCCAUAGUGCACCCAGGACCCCCAUAGUGCACCCAGGGCCCCCCAUAUGCACCCAGGGCCCCCACAGUGCCGGCUGCACAGGGGCUGCCACCUGGACUAAACAUCUCCCACUCCUCCAGCAAAGGCUGCACGAAGCCACCACUGCUUUAGUCUGUUCCAUGUAACAGCCGAGGUUUUGAAAGGAGGAAACCAAAAAGCUUGGGAAAUAACCUCUCUAUAGACCACUCUCAGUGCUGUGAAAUGUACUCUGUUGCCUUGAAUAGCGCUAUUGCUGCACAAUUUUUUAUAAAGAGCGACAGAGCUUGUAUUUUCACUGUUUUUAGAAUUCAGGAUCACCAGGCAAACUCAGCCCAUAGAACAGCAUGACUUUUGUUUCAAAGGAAAACUUUUGUAUUUUUAACCAUUUCUAUGUCUUCUAUGAAAAUGUUACACUUAUGCUUCCUCACCAAAUGCCUGUUACUGUACCAGGUGCUUUUUAAAAUUUUGUUUGUUUGUUUGUUUUUUAAUGGGUGAUGCUUUUGUUUUUAAAAAAACCCAGCUCACAACUUUGGGGGAUGAAGGUGUUUUUUUAAUGAGAUGAUUGUGGCAAUUUGAUUUUUUAAAUGGAGAAUAUUAAUUUAGUAUCAAAUUUUGUUAGACACUUUCAAAUUAAUUGGCCCAGGGUGUAUGGUGUAUGAUACUGUUCUCAUAUUAAGAAUGUAAUUAUUUCCUUAUUGUAUUUUUUAAAAAACAAAAUCAUAUUUAAAAAAAAAAAACUCUGUGAAAAGAAGCAUGAUAGAAACAUGAAAAAAAAGGUUUUGUUUUAUUUUUGUUAUUGGAUAUGUUGGCAGUGCCCAUUGUAAUUGAUUGUAAAUAUAGCCUUUCUACUGUAUUUCUCAGUGUAUUUAAGUUUUUUUGACACACAUUCAUGGACAUUUCUGUUAAAAAAAAAAAAAAUAACAAAAGUCCAAAAUAGACCCACCUUCAAAUGUGUGUCUUAGUAGCUUCAAUUAACUUUAUGCCUUUCUAGUUUAUUCUUCAGAAAGUCUUGCGAAGUGUGAAAAAAGACUGGCACCUGGUAGGUGCGACAGAUCUGAGACCAUUAUUAAUAAAUUUACCUGU